UACAGAGGUGGCAAGCGUUGUUCGGAAUUACUGGGCGUAAAGGGCGCGUAGGCGGCUCUCUAAGUCCCGUGUGAAAGCCCUCGGCUUAACCGAGGAACUGCACGAGAAACUGGAGAGCUUGAGUUCGGGAGGAGGGAAGCGGAAUUCCGGGUGUAGGCGGUGAAAUGACGUAGAUAUCCGGAGGAACACCGGUGGCGAAG
rnacentral:rRNA from 1 species